AGCCUUUGGCACCAACACGCCUGGGAACCUUCUGACAUGAUUCGGUUUCUAUGAGCCAUAUUGGCUAGUUGAUAUCGCAAAUGCAUGUGUCGUGGUUCAUCUUGUUGGAGCAUAUUAGGUAUUCAGCCAGCCAUUGUUUGAAAAUUUUAAGAGCUGGCUUGGGAAGAAAUUCCCGGAGAGUGGUGUUGUACACGAG